AAUUCAUAACCGAUUUAUAUAUUUUUAAAUUCAAUUCCAUCUCUGACAAAUCAUUCUAUUUCUUUACAUGAAAGUGUCAAAUGUCAAAUCUACAGAAGGGACUGGAACAAUUACUUGGUAUAUUCAUAUGUCGUUCUGAUAAGUUUUGAAACUGCAAAAUGCAGAUAUUACCUCUCUAAAUGUAAUAUGUGUCAAAGGGUUAUGUUAAUCCAACUCUUUGUAUAUUUCAAGCCAAAUUUCACCUUCAAGUAGUUCAUUGCCGGGUAAGUUGUAUUCACAUUGUUUUAAAACCUCGUACACUUUUGAGUUGCUUUUUAAUCUUUGACUUCAGAGUCAAUAAAUUGAGCCAACCAAAUUAUACGAAUAGCAUAUAAUGCUGUCUACACUUUUUUGGAUAUUUUGGAAUAAGCCACCUAUAACUUAUGGUAUCUAAUUGGAUACAAACGUUACAAAGGUUUGAUAGCUACAAUUUCUCCGCUUAGUUUUCUAACUUUC
rnacentral:lncRNA from 1 species